rnacentral:lncRNA from 1 species
AAAAGAAAGAAAGAAAUACAUUUAAUUACGUAAUUGAGGACGCAUACAUAAGUACCUACAUAAACAAUCAAUAUAAUAAAUAAAACAAAAAAGGGCUAAAAUAGAAAGAAAGCAAACAUGAGGGGGUAGUAUGCGUCACAACCACGCAAUACGGCCCUCGCUCAGCAUGAUGCUGCGACCCCGUGCGAGACAAAGUCCCAGCGCUGAUUUUCAGCGACAGCCGAAACUAACGUUAUGGCGUCCAACGGGUGAUUAUGCGAAUAUGUGUUAAAUAAAUUGUGUUUAAAUAUAUAUUAAAUAAAUAGUGUUUCUUUGAAGAAUAUAAUAGAAUAUAAUUAGUUUACUCCAUAUGAUCAAAAUACAUGUGGUCGCGCCAUUAAUUAUCUAUGCCUGUAAACCAUAGAGGUCAGUGCUGUAACUUAAACAUCUGUCAAAAACUAUUUCAGCUACUGAAAAUAAAAAUGUAUUUUUAAUGGCGACCGACGCUUUCGUACUUUAUUAUAAGAGGGUAAUAUGCUUUACAAAAUAUUGUAUAGUGUGUAUGUAUCAUACGAGAUAAGUAUCUUGAGCAACGAGUGACUAAGUUUUAUCUUAUCCCAGUUUGGGAUCGUGCGAGGUGUUAUAAAAUAUGCUUUGUCAUGACGGUGGGUACAUAAAAAUAUAUGAGGACAUAACAAAGAACACAGAUGAAGGAUAUUUGGAGCAAUAUGAGCCGACACAGCCCCUCCUCCAAGAUUGCUCAACGAUCAGGAGCCACGCUUCUGCUACAAGUGUGCCUCCAAUGCAUCCCACGCCUCAGGAAAUCCCUACACCAGCGCAUGUACGCCAUGACCCCGUAGGCGUCGCAAUGGUGGAGGGAUAUCAUUCCAACAGCGUGUGGCUGCAAACUUGAAACAACCUCGGAAUGCUAUGGUACGAUGCAUUGGUACCACCAGAGGGCAUACCACGGACCGGAGACCAUGAUCUGAACGGAUGGGUUUCCAGGUCAACUUGCUAUAUAGGUAUUCUGGUUUUUUUGAAUCAAUAACUCCAAAAAGCAAAUUGGCCAAGUGCAGCCUCCUCCUGGCUGCCAUCUUUAAUAUAUCCAGAUUAUUUAUGUACGGAGUCACGUGGCUUCUUCGAGGAAUGUUUGUGCAGAAC